UACGUAGGGGGCUAGCGUUGUCCGGAUUUAUUGGGCGUAAAGAGCGUGUAGGCGGCCAGGUAGGUCUGGUGUGAAAACUCGAGGCUUAACCUCGAGAUGUCAUCGGAAACCAUCUGGCUAGAGUCCGGAAGAGGAGAGUGGAAUUCCUGGUGUAGCGGUGAAAUGCGCAGAUAUCAGGAAGAACACCAAUGGCGAAAGCGGUUCUCUGGGACGGUACUGACGCUGAGACGCGAAAGCGUGGGGAGCGAACAGG
rnacentral:rRNA from 1 species